rnacentral:pre_miRNA from 1 species
GGGUGGAGGCCGGAUCCUGGGCUGUGUCCCCGGCACCCAGUGCUCCCGGGCCUGCGCUGUUGGAUUUGCGCUCCCGGUGGCGCAGCCCCCU